UUCCAGACUCCUACGGGAGGCAGCAGUGGGGGAUAUUGCACAAUGGGGGAAACCCUGAUGCAGCGACGCCGCGUGAGCGAUGAAGUAUUUCGGUAUGUAAAGCUCUAUCAGCAGGGAAGAAGAUGACGGUACCUGACUAAGAAGCCCCGGCUAACUACGUGCCAGCAGCCGCGGUAAUACGUAGGGGGCAAGCGUUAUCCGGAUUUACUGGGUGUAAAGGGAGCGUAGACGGCGAUGCAAGCCAGAUGUGAAAGGCCGGGGCUCAACCCCGGGACUGCAUUUGGAACUGUGUGGCUGGAGUGUCGGAGAGGCAGGCGGAAUUCCUAGUGUAGCGGUGAAAUGCGUAGAUAUUAGGAGGAACACCAGUGGCGAAGGCGGCCUGCUGGACGAUGACUGACGUUGAGGCUCGAAAGUGUGGGGAGCAAACAGGAUUAGAUACCCCCGUAA
rnacentral:rRNA from 1 species